UGGCUCAGGAUGAACGCUGGCGGCGUGCUUAACACAUGCAAGUCGAACGGUGAAGCCCAGCUUGCUGGGUGGAUCAGUGGCGAACGGGUGAGUAACACGUGAGCAACCUGCCCUGGACUCUGGGAUAAGCGCUGGAAACGGCGUCUAAUACUGGAUAUGAACCACGAAGGCAUCUUCAGUGGUUGGAAAGAUUUUUCGGUCUGGGAUGGGCUCGCGGCCUAUCAGCUUGUUGGUGAGGUAAUGGCUCACCAAGGCGUCGACGGGUAGCCGGCCUGAGAGGGUGACCGGCCACACUGGGACUGAGACACGGCCCAGACUCCUACGGGAGGCAGCAGUGGGGAAUAUUGCACAAUGGGCGGAAGCCUGAUGCAGCAACGCCGCGUGAGGGAUGACGGCCUUCGGGUUGUAAACCUCUUUUAGCAAGGAAGAAGCUUUUGUGACGGUACUUGCAGAAAAAGCGCCGGCUAACUACGUGCCAGCAGCCGCGGUAAUACGUAGGGCGCAAGCGUUAUCCGGAAUUAUUGGGCGUAAAGAGCUCGUAGGCGGUUUGUCGCGUCUGCUGUGAAAUCCCGAGGCUCAACCUCGGGCCUGCAGUGGGUACGGGCAGACUAGAGUGCGGUAGGGGAGAUUGGAAUUCCUGGUGUAGCGGUGGAAUGCGCAGAUAUCAGGAGGAACACCGAUGGCGAAGGCAGAUCUCUGGGCCGUAACUGACGCUGAGGAGCGAAAGGGUGGGGAGCAAACAGGCUUAGAUACCCUGGUAGUCCACCCCGUAAACGUUGGGAACUAGUUGUGGGGUCCUUUCCACGGAUUCCGUGACGCAGCUAACGCAUUAAGUUCCCCGCCUGGGGAGUACGGCCGCAAGGCUAAAACUCAAAGGAAUUGACGGGGACCCGCACAAGCGGCGGAGCAUGCGGAUUAAUUCGAUGCAACGCGAAGAACCUUACCAAGGCUUGACAUACACGAGAACACCCUAGAAAUAGGGGACUCUUUGGACACUCGUGAACAGGUGGUGCAUGGUUGUCGUCAGCUCGUGUCGUGAGAUGUUGGGUUAAGUCCCGCAACGAGCGCAACCYUCGUUCUAUGUUGCCAGCACGUAAUGGUGGGAACUCAUGGGAUACUGCCGGGGUCAACUCGGAGGAAGUGGGGAUGACGUMAAUCAUCAUGCCCCUUAKKYYUGGSYUUMCGCAUGCUACAUGGCC
rnacentral:rRNA from 1 species